rnacentral:lncRNA from 1 species
AAAAGACGGAAACAUAAGCUAAAUACAAGAAAAGAUAAGAAGAGAUGAGUCCGCCCCCUAUAUAUUUGAUACCUUCUCCUACAACGAAACUAAUAACCCCAACCCCGUUAGUCAUCCCAUCAAUUACUCGUCGAUCAAUAAAAUGAGUAAAUUCAGCUAAUCCUCUUAUCCCACCAAUAAAAAAUCUUGUAUAAAAAGCAUCUAUGUAAGCACGAUUAUAUGACCAAUCAUAUAUGCCAUUUAGAAUUUUGUCCCACAGAAUUCUCUUAGGACCCUUUUUAACAAAAGAGUUAAUGAACUCCAAAUUUUUUAAAGAAGAAUAAAUGGGUUUAUAUAAAAAGGAUGCUAUAAAUAUUCCGAAAUAAGCUAUACUGACUGAAACAACUGCAUCCUUUAAAAAUUCAUUCCAAUCCAGCGAAUUAUUCGACUUUGGAUGCAAAAGAUUUAUAGAUGGAGCUAACCAUUUUGAUAAGAUAUCCAAAUUAACUCCUUCCUGGUUGAAAGGAAUUCCUAUAGCUCCAACAAACAAAGUAAAGAGCCCUAAUACAAAUAUUGGGAAUAGCAUAGUAUUGUCCGAUUCAUACGGAUAGGAAGAAACCGCUUUAUGCUUAAAAUGAGCAAUAGUCAUAAAAGGUCGUGUCAUCUUUCUUCCAUUUUUAGCAAUUGGAUAUUUAGUUUUUGACAAAAAAUAAGUACUUUCAUUAUUAUUCAUUGUUAAUAAACAAGAGUUUUUCUUAACUCCGUUUUUACCCCAUAGAGAUAUUGAAUAGAAGAGGAUUUUUUUGUUUCCCACCAUAAUUUUGAAAAUGAGAGUUUAAAUGCCCUUCAAAAGUAAGUAAAUAGAUCUGAAACGUAUAAAAAUGUGGUUAAUCCCGCCGUUGCCCAAGCUAUUAUUGGAAAAAUUGGCGAAUACAACCAACUAUCAUUAAGAAUUUCAUCUUUGGACCAAAAACAAGCAAGAGGUGCAAUACCACAAAGAGAAAGUGUACAUAAUAAAAAUGUGAUUUUGGUAAUUGGUACAUGUUUUCAUAAACCUCCCAUUAGACCCAUAUUCUGGCUUUUAGCUGGAGAAUAUCCAACAAUAGUUUCCAUUGAAUGAAUAAUGGAUCCGGAUCCUAAAAUUAAUAAUGCUUUGGAAUAAGCAUGAGUAAUCAAAUGAAAUAAAGCGCUUCGAUAAGACCCCAUACCUAGAGCUAACAUCAUAUAACCCAAUUGAGAAAUUGUGGAAUAGGCUAAACCUCUCUUAAUGUCUUUUUGAGAAAGAGCUAAAGUAGGUCCUAAUAAUACUGUUAUUAUUCCUAUAACCAAGAUCAAAUACAUUAUGUAAGGUAUAACUCUAAAAAGAGGAAGAAGUCGAGCUACAAGAAAAAUUCCUGCCGCUACCAUAGUAGCAGCAUGUAUAAGAGCCGAAAUAGGAGUAGGCCCCUUCAUGGCAUUAGGUAACAAUACAAGAAGGGGGAAUUGAGCAGAUUUAGCAACUGCACCGGCAAAUAAUAGAACAGCGCAUAACGUAACAAAUAAAAAAUUCAGCUCAUUAUUAUAAAUCAAGUUAUUGAAUAUUUUGAAUAAAUCUCUAAAUUCGAAACUCCUCGUUAUCCAAUAAAAACCUAAAAUUCCUAAUAAUAAACCAAAUCCCCUACACGAUUCGUUACAAACGCUUUUUGACAAGCAUUUGCCGCAACAGGUCGUGUAAACCAAAAUCCUAUUAAUAGAUAGGAACACAGCCCAACCAAUUCCCAAAAAAUAUAAAUUUGUAUCAAAUUCGAACUAGUAACUAAUCCCAACUUGGAAGUACUGAAAAAACUCAUAUAAGCAAAAAAUCUCAAAUAGCCUUGAUCAUGAGCCAUAUAAUUAUCACUUUAAAUAAGAACCAUAAUUCCAACAGUAGUUAUUAAUAUUGACAUAAUAGAAGUAAGUGGGUCGAUCAAGUAUCCGAAGUCUAAAGAAAAAAUCAUUAUUAAUGAUCCAAGACCAUACAUAUUGAUAAACAGAACUGCUAUUUAUUUGCUGAAUAGACAGGUAGAUUGAAAAAAUCAUGACUAUGCUUAACAAUAAAACACUCUGAAAAGCCCACAUACGGCGAAACCUUUUUGUUGCCGUUGGAAAAAGAAUAAGUCCCGCUCCUAUUAACAUAGGCACUGGAAGUGGAAUGAAAGGUAUGAUCCACGCAUAUUCAUAUGUCUGUUCCAUAAAAAAGUUUUGAAUUCUUAAUUAAUUAUUUCCAAUUCACCGAAUCUUACCUCUUUUGAAAGGAGUCAAUAAAAAGUAAAAAUAUGGACUAACUUAAACUAAUUUAAAACUUAAAUAGAAUUUUUUAUUCUUACUUAUUCUGAGUCUUUGCUAAAUAUUUGAACUAUUAAAAUCACGAAGUUACGAUUGGUCAAAUGAUAUAAAAGGGAUUAAUUAUUAGUCUUUUGAAAUAAGCCUAUUUUUUAAAAUCAAAGUUUGCCAAGUGAAUCGAACGGGGAUUGAAGUUUUUCAUUUCCUGAAGUAAAACGCGGUUCUUAUCUUUAAACCUUUCGAGGUAUUUUAUUGCAUGUAAAUAAAAUGUGGAACCAUAAAUAUAAAUCAACAAUUUUUGGGAUUCGUUAUUUUAUUUUUAUAUUAAGUUCAACAAAUUUUCUUUCUUCAUUUCUACAGAACAACCGAUUAUCAAAUUCUAUAGGUAUAGAUUUGAUGAAUCAAAAAGAAUGUGAAAUAAAGAUACCAGUCAAUGGAGAACCUUUUCUUUUUUAUGAUUAUGAAUGUUUUAUUGAAUAGAAAAACUUGAAAAAAAAAUAUUGGCCUUCUUUUUUAUUUCCAGUAUUCUGCAACUUUCACAUAGUUUUUGCCUAUCUCGAUAAUGUUUAUUUGGGGAGGACACUAUUAGCUCAAAAAUAAAUAGUAGUAAAAAGAAUCUGUUUUGAACAAUAGAUGUCUUUCACAUCCAGCUAUAACAAUAAGUAAUUUUUUAAUUUCUAAAUGGCAGUUCCAAAAAAAUGCACUUCGACCUCAAAAAAGCGUAUUCGUAAAAAUAUUUGGAAAAGGAAGGGGUAUUGGGUAGCAUUAAAGGCUUUUUCAUUAGCAAAAUCUCUUUCUACCGGUAAUUCAAAAAGGUUUUUUGUACGCCAAACAAAAAUAAAUAAGUAAUAAAACGUUAGAAUAAUUUGAAUCAAUUUGAAAAAAAUUAUUCAAUUAUUCUUCAAUUAUUAUCUAAUUGAACAAUUUCCCUUUCCUCUUUGAUAUUGAUUAGCUCACCAAUCCAUAUAUAACAUAACUCUAUUCGCUUUUCUGAUUGAUAUAGAAAAUAAUAGAAUUAGGAAAUCCUCUAUUUACUAUUCACUGAAUAAUAACCUUUUUGUUGACAAAAGAGUAAAGACCAUUUCUAUUCCAAGGUGGGGAGUUUUAUUUUCCCCAUCGACCUAUUUUCACAAUAAAAUGCAAAUAAAAUUCUAUAUUUGCAUGUCUAUAGAAGAACGUAUAUAAAAAUCUUUAGUGAAAGUUAAGAACUCAUUGAAAGUAAUUGAUUCUAUUUUGAAACCUUUUUGUUUUCUCGAACUUUCUCACUUUUAAUUUUCUCUGAAUUAUUAUAUAGACCGCCAUGUAUAUCUUUCCCUUAACCCAAUAGAGAAAAUUGCUUAAUGAAAUUUUGUAUGACUAAUUGUGAAUUUUUAGCGAUGCAAAAUUGGUUCUUUUCUUUCUAUUUUGUCGUCAAAAUCCCUUUUUUGUUUUAUUUUAUAUCUAUGAAAAAAAAAGAAAUUGCUGCUUAAACAAUGAAAACAAAAACUUUUUGAACUCUAUUCCUUAAUUGAGUGUAGAACGGUUUAGUUACAAGAGUUGAAUUCGAGGAAAGCAGAAAAUAUAGGAAAGACUCAGGUUAAAUAAAAAAAACUAAGACUCUAAACUCAAAUAACAAAUAAUGAACCUUCAACCUCAAAUUCCUAUUUGAACAACUUUUUAUUGGUAUUGAUCUAUUUGAAUCAUUACUAAACUAAAAUAGCUUACUCAAUCUCGACGAUUGCUUAUUCGUAGGCUAUUAUGAGUUCAAGACAAGCCGCUAUGGUGAAAUUGGUAGACCCACUGCUCUUAGGAAGCAGUGCUAAUGCAUCUCGGUUCGAGUCCGAGUGGCGGCAUACCAUCUUCUAAAAAGGAUAAAUAGAUCUUAUAAUGAAUUCAAUUCCCGAUUUCCAUUUUAGAAUUAUGUAAUUAAGGGACUCUUCUUUUUUAAGAUUUUUAUGAUAUUUUCAACCUUAGAUCAUAUAUUAACUCACAUUUCCUUUUCUAUCGUUUCAAUUUUAAUUACAAUUCAUUUGAUAACCUUUUUUGUCUAUGAAAUUGUAGAACUAUACGAUUCGUCAGAAAAGGGCAUAAUCGUUACUUUUUUCUGUAUAACAAGAUUAUUAGUUACUCGUUGGGUUUCUUCAGGACAUUUCCCACUAACCGAUUUAUAUGAAUCAUUAAUUUUCCUUUCAUGGAUUUUCUCCCUUAUUCAUAUAAUUCCAUAUUUCAAAAAAAUGUUUUAAUUUUAAGUAAAAUAACUGGACCAAGUGCUAUUUUGACCCAAGGCUUUGCAACUUCAUGUAUUUUAACUGAAAUACACCAAUCUGGAAUCUUAGUACCUGCUCUUCACUCUGAGUGGUUAAUAAUGCACGUAAGUAUGAUGAUAUUGGGGCAUUGCAGCCCUUUUAUGUGGAUCGUUAUUAUCAGUAGCACUUCUACUGAUUACAUUUCGAAAAAACAGAAAGAUUUUUUCUAAGAGCAAUGUUUUUUUAAACGAGUCAUUUUUAUUGAGUGAAAAUGUUGUCGAAAAUACUUCAUUUUUUGUGCUAAAAAUUAUUACAGGUCCCAAUUGAUUCAACAAUUGGAUUAUUGGAGUUAUCGGGUUAUUAGUUUAGGAUUUACUUUUUAACAAUAGGAAUCCUUUCAGGAGUCGUAUGGGCUAAUGAAGUGUGGGGUUCCUAUUGGAAUUGGGAUCCAAAAGAAACUUGGGCAUUUAUUACUUGGAUCGUAUUUGCCAUUUAUUUACAUACUCGAACAAAUAGAAAUUUGCGGGGUCCAAAUUUUGCAAUUGUAGCGUCGAUAGGUUUUCUUAUAAUUUGGAUAUGCUAUUUUGGGGUCAAUCUAUUAGGAAUAGGGUUACAUAGUUAUGGUUCUUUUCCAUCAACAUUUAAUUGAAUUCAAGACAAGUUAUUACAAAUACAAGAGCGGGCGACGCAUUGUAUGAACCAGCAUGUGGACCGUGUGAAUCAAAUAUUGUAUUGAUGAUUCACAUGGUUUUCUACCAUAUGUAGUUCAAUUUCAUUGUUUUUACUUAAUUCUUAAGUUAAAAGAGAAGAAAAAAAGAAGAUUGUCUUUCAUUGUCGAAGAAUGUUUUUAAAAACAAACAUAAGUUUUUUUUUAUUUCAGUCAUCCAAUUAUCUAUACAAAAAAUUAGAUAGAAUAACUUCGACCUUGUCAACUGCUAAUGGAAGAACGAAAUCGGGGUAUAUACCUAUACCUAUUACGGGUAAAAAGAUGGAGAUCGAAAGAAAUAACUCUCGCGGUCCAGAAUAAAAAAAGAAUCCUUCGGGGCGUUAAAUAACUUGUAUCCAUAGAACAUCUGGCGUGGCAUAGAUAAUGAAUAAAUAGGAUUUAAUAUAAUUCCAAUUGCCAUUACAAAAGUAAUUAGUAGUUUUGGAAUUAAAAGAUAUUUUUGGCUGGUAAUUAUUCCAAAAAAUACUAUCAAUUCGGCAACAAAACCACUCAUACCUGGUAAUGCAAGGGAAGCCAUCGAAAAGCUACUGAACAUCGCGAACAUUUUUGGCAUUGGAAUAGAUAUUCCGCCUAUUUCGUCAAGAUAAACAAGGUGGAUUCUAUCAUAAGUCGUUCCCGCCAAGAAAAAAAGUGCAGCACUAAUAAAUCGAUGAGAGAUUAUUUGUAAAAGGGCUCUAUUUAGUCCCGUAUCGGUUAGAGAACUAAUUCCUAUAAUUAUAAAACCCAUAUGAGAGACAGAGGAAUAGGCUAUUCUUUUUUUUUAAAUUCCGUCGGCCAAGAGAUGUUGAAGCUGCAUAGAUUAUUUGUAUUGUACCUAUUAUCAUCAACCAAGGAGAAAAUAUAAAAUGGGCAUGAGGUAAUAAUUCCAUAUUGAUUCGAAUUAAUCCAUACGCUCCCAUUUUUAAUAAGAUUCCGGCUAGAAGCAUACAAGUAAUGUAAUGUGCUUCUCCAUGGGUAUUUGGUAACCAUGUGUGUAGGGGGAUAAUGGGCGAUUUGACAGCAAAAGCAAUAAAAAAAUCCAAUAUAGAAGAUUAUUUCUAAAACCACAAGAUAUGAGUGAUUAACUGAUGUUUCAAAAUUUAAUGUUGGUUCAUUAGAACCAUAUAAAGCAACACCCAAAACUCCCAUUAAGAGAAAAACGGAACCCCCCGCCGUGUACAAAAUAAAUUUUGUAGCUGAGUACAGACGUUUCUUUCCUCCCCACAUGGCUAGAAGUAGAUAAACAGGAAUUAAUUCUAACUCCCACAUGAUGAAAAAAAGUAAAAGGUCCCGAGACGAAAAUAAUCCAAUUUGACCACUGUACAUUGCUAACAUGAGAAAAUGGAAUAAUCUAGAAUCUCGAGUAACUGGCCAAGCCGCUAAAGUCGCUAAAGUAGUGAUAAAUCCUGUUAAUAAAAUGGGUCCUAUAGAAAGUCCAUCUAUUCCUAAUCUCCAAUGGAAAUCAAAAAAAUCGAUCCAUUUAUAAUCCUCUACUAGUUGGAUUAAUGGAUCAUCCGAUUGGAAAUGAUAACAAAAUGCAUAAGUUGUUAGAAGGAGUUCUAAAAUACAUAUACAUAUUGUAUACCACCUAAUUACCCUAUUUCCUUUAUGGGGAAGAAAGAAAAUUAAAGAACCCGCAAAUAUCGGAAAAAACGACAAUUAUUGUUAACCAAGGAAAAUAAUUCGUAGUAAAGACAAGAUACACUUGGACCAAAAAAACCCGUGCUCAAAAUAUUUUUAUUUUCGAGCACAGGUUUGUCGGUAAAAAAAUUAAAUGGAUUCAAGUAGAGUUUUCUCGAACGUAUCAAUAAGCUAGACCCAUACUGCGAGUUGUUUCAUGCCAUAAAUAAACUCGGACACUCAAGAAAUCUGUUGGACAGGCGGAUUCACAUCUCUUACAACCAACACAGUCCUCUGUUCGUGGAGCAGAAGCAAUUUGUUUAGCCUUACAACCGUCCCAAGGUAUCAUUUCUAAUACAUCAGUGGGGCAGGCUCGGACACAUUGAGUACAUCCUAUACACGUAUCAUAAAUCUUUACUGAAUGUGACAUUGGGCCUAUACGUUUUUGAAUGUUCUAAAUUUUCGAUCUAGUAAACUUAGAAACGAAUCGUAUAUUUAGAUACCAGAUGAAUCAAUGAGUUAUCAUAAUUUUCUAAUCAACCCCUUUCUGGAUUGGUUUAUGAGAUAUGAGAGAGGCCAAAAUACUUUGAUUUCUUAUGUUUUGCAAACAAGAUCAUACUUUACGUAGUAAACAUGCUAAUUAAAAUAGAUUUCUCAAUAUUAGAAUCUAGAUGAUUAAUAUUAAUUAUUCAACAAAUUUGAUUGGUUGAUACGAGUUGAUUUUCUGUUACGGUAAAUUGAUGAAACAAUAGCCAGGCCAAUGGCUGCUUCAGCGGCUGCAAUAGCUAUAACAAAAAUUGAGAAAAUGUCUCCCUUUAAUUGACGAUUAUCAAAAAAAUCAGAAAAUGUUACAAAAUUGAUAUUAACUGCAUUCAAUAUAAGUUCAAGACACAUAAGGGCUCUAACCAUAUUUCGACUUGUGAUCAAUCCAUAGAUACCGAUGGAAAAUAAAUAGGCACUCAAAACAAGUACAUGUUCGAGAAUCAUUAAACAACUCCUUAUCAAUCCCGACUCCUUUCAAUAUGAACAACAAUUCAACUAACUUAAUUGACUAGUAUAUAACAAGUAUGGAACAAAGAAAUAUAUUGUUACUAGAUUGACCUAAAGUCUUUCUAUUUAUCCAGCUAGAAUUCAAAUAGAAUUGAAGGAAAAUUAAUGUGAUAAGACAGAACAAAAUUUUAUUUGAAUUCCAAGUUUUAAUAGAAAUUUUUUAUUGACGAGCUACAGCAAUUGCACCUAUUAAAGCAACUAAAAGGAUUAUGGAAAUAAGUUCAAAUGGGAGAAAAAAAUCUGUUGAUAAAUGAAUUCCAAUUUGUUGACUAUUACUUAGAAAAUCUUGCUCUAUAAUCUGGUUUGAUCUUGUAGUCCAAAUAAUCCCGUACCAUGACGUAUCUGAAAUAGUAGUAAUUAGUGAAAUAAAAAGACUUAUACAAACCAUCGAAGUAAUUCCAUCUCCUACGGUCCAAAGAUGAAAAUCCUUGUAAUAUUCUGAGCCAUUCAUGAACAUCACAGCAAAAAUGAUUAAAACAUUUAUAGCUCCUACGUAAAUAAGUAGCUGCGCAGCAGCUACAAAAUAGGCGUUAGAUAGAAUAUAGAAUAACGAUGUACAAACAAGAACCAAUCCCAAGGAAAAGGCCGAAUAAAUUGGAUUGGGAAGUAAUACCACUCCUAGACCCCCUAAUAUAAGACCCGAUCCUAGAAAGACUAAAAGAAAAUCAUGUAUUGGUUCAGAUAAAUCCAUUUUUUAUAAAAAAUCAAAAACGAAGAAUUUCAUGACUUUAUUGACCUGACCAGGAAAAAAGCAGUUUUUCUAUUUUUUAUGAUACUUUGAAAUUGUUAAUUGAAUGAAAGUCUAAUGGGUAUGAAUUGACGUAGAUGCUUUUAUUUUAUUGGACCACUAUCCAUUCUUUAUUCGUCGAAAGAGGAGUUUAAACCUAUCUAUUUUUGAUAUCAUUUAUCUACUUUGAAACCAUUACUAUUAUAAUAUAUAAUAUUGAACUCGGUUUUGUUUUCAAUCUAAAUUAAGCUUAAGCUAGGAGUCUCAUUAAGAAACCACUAGUUUGAAUUGCCCAAGCAAAAAUCUCAUUGUUUUAGAUCCGAACUAAGCCUUCGUAAUUUGUAAUUUUUUUGAAUCAAAUUAAGGGUUUAUUCAUUGUUUAUUUGAGGUAAAUUCGAAAUUGUUCGAAUUGUGUAAUCAUCAAUUACUGACAUUGGUAAGCGACCCAAAGCGAUUUGAUUAUAAUUCAAUUCGUGACGAUCAUAAGUAGAAAGUUCAUAUUCUUCGGUCAUUGAUAAACAAUUUGUUGGGCAAUACUCAACGCAAUUACCACAAAAUAUACAGAUUCCAAAAUCAAUACUGUAAUUAAGCAAUCGUUUCUUUCGAAUAUCAGUUUCCAACUUCCAAUCAACAACGGGUAAAUCUAUAGGACAUACACGCACACAUACUUCACAAGCAAUGCAUUUAUCAAAUUCAAAGUGUAUUCGGCCUCGGAAACGUUCCGAUGUGAUCAAUUUUUCGUAGGGGUAUUGAAUAGUUACAGGUAAACGAUUUGCGUGGGACAGGGUAAUCAUGAAACCUUGGCCGAUAUAUCUGGCGGCUCGUAUUGUUUGUUGACCAUAAUUUAUGAAUUCAGUUAUCAUAGGGAGCAUAUGUUGAAUAUCUAUAAAAAAGAUUUUAUGCUUGUUUCUUUCUCUUGUUUGAGACAAGUCGUGAAUCUAGGAUAUUGUGGUCUUUUACAAUGAAAGAAGUUGGGACGAGGUUGUCAAUAAUAGAUUACCUAGAGAAAUCGGUAAAAGAAAUUUCCACCCAAGAUUUAAUAGUUGGUCCAUUCUCAGCCUCGGUAAAGUCCAUCUUGUUGCAAUGUGAAUGAACAAAACCAAAUAAGUUUUGGCUAAUGUGAUAAAGAUACCAAUUAGUGUUCCAAAGAAUUUACCUCCUUUAUUUAUGCCAAAUAUCUCAGGAACAAAUAUGUACGGAAUAGACAGAUUCCAACCUCCCAAGUAAAGAACUGUUACAAAUAAUGAAGAAACUAGUAGAUUCAGAUGUGAAGCAAUGUAAAAUAAAUCAAAUUUGAUACCAGAAUAUUCGGUCUGAUACCCUGCCACUAAUUCUUCUUCUUCUUCUGGUAAAUCAAAAGGUAAUCUUUCACACUCGGCGAGAGAAGAAAUUAGAAAAAUGAUAAACCCGAUGGGUUGACGCCACAAAUUCCACCCCCAAAAACCAUAUUUUGACUGCGCUUCCACUAUAUCAACUGUACUUAAACUGUUAGAUAAUCAUAGUCGAUGAACAUCACUGUGCCCAUCGCUAUUACAGAACCGUACGUGAGAUUUUCACCUGAUACGGCUCCUCAGAGGUCACAACUAAAUCUAAGGGCCCUUUACUAUUCUUUAUCUUGAUAUGUUUGUCAGAUAGAGUCAAAAUCUAUUCUAAGGUCCCAAAUCAGAGCAAUGGAAUUUUGUCUGCUGUAUUUAAAACUAAUAAAUAAGUGCUUCUGAAUUUAUCUCAUCUUUUAAGAAUUUUAAUUUUUCUUUGUUGAUUAAUAACCUUAUCAUUAAAUAAAAAAAUGUGCUUUAUAGCAAUAUCACAUAUACAUUUCAACCUCAAAUUUUCAAUUACGAAAAAAAUUAGAGAGUACAUUAGUACAUGAAUCAUGACAAAAAAUUUAUCUCUCUGAAUAGAAAUAAAAAUUGAAUUAUAGGAAAGAAAGAAUAAAAACAAAAAAAGACAUUCCUCCUUUUUCCUUUUUCAAUUAGCUUCUUUUCUUUCUAUUUCUAUUUUUUUUAUUUCAUUCCUAUUCUCCUUUCUUAAAAAAAGGGUCUUUAACCAAAGUAAAAGAUUACUUCGUUCUUGAUAGUUAGUUACUUACUCAGUGGAUAGGAACAUACUCUGGAUCAGAAUCAUGGCGAGUACUUCUUAAUCAUUUCUACGAACGUAAAGCCCCAAUUAUAAUUCCUUUUAUGUAUAGAAAUAUCCUCUUGGAUAACUUACAUCAUCUCAAUUACUAAUCUUUUGUGUAUCUUGGUCUUCCUGACCAUCCACUCAUUUUUUGUUUCAAAAACCUCCCAUUGUGGAAAUCCAUCUAUGGUAAUAGACAGUAAAAACUCCAUAGAGUUGGUCUUUUGAACCCGCUUCAAGCUAUCAUGACAAUUCACGAAUCUUGGGGUAAACAAUCUCUCUUGCUUAUAUUUACUUUUUUCACCAUUUGAUUCUUGUACAUAGGAAAUGAGACUCAACUUUUUUACUGCAAAUUUAGAAGCCGUUUUCUUUCACUCAUAUAACUAUCUGAUUUAGUUCAUCAACUCAAAUGCUGAAGAAAAAAAAUAUAUAAUCAAUCAAAUCUUUUUAUCCUUGUUUCUAGAAAGAAAAGAAUUUGGAUAAAUUUUAGGUCUCACCGAAUCACACGUAGAGAUAUUGAUAACACACAUAGAGCUAAUGGUAUUUCAUAACUAAUUGAUUGAGCAGCUGCCCGUAGACCACCUAAAAAGGAAUAUUUAUUAUUUGAUCCAUACCCCGACAUAAGAAGUCCAACGGGAGCAAUACUUGAAAUGGCAAUCCAAAAAAAAACACCAAUACUAAGAUCGGCUAGAACAAGGUGAUCACCAAAAGGAAUUACUGAAUAACUUAGAAAGAUAGAUAUUACUGCUAUGGAUGGUCCGAUACUGAAUAAACGAGUAUCUCCUGUAGAUGGAAUAAGGUUCUCUUUCAAAAGUAGUUUUGUCCCAUCUGCUAGAGCUUGAAGAAUUCCUAACGGGCCGGCAUAUUCAGGCCCAAUACGUUGUUGUAUUCCUGCAGAUAUUUCUCUUUCUAACCAAACAAUUACUAGUACACCUAUUGUGAUUCCUAAUACAAGAGUCACAAUAGGGACAAGCAUCCAUAUGAUCCCAUAGACUUCUUUUAAGGAUUCCAAUUUGGAAAAAGAAUUGAUAGUCUCUAUUUCUGUUGUAUCAAUUAUCAUUUCAACGAUCAACUUCUCCCAUAAUGAUAUCUAUGCUACCUAGUAUUGUCAUAAUAUCAGCCAAUUUCAUUCUUUUAACUAACUGAGGAAGAAUUUGCAAAUUGAUAAAACCUGGUGGGCGAAUUUUCCAUCUCCAAGGAAAAACGCUCUGAUCUCCUAUCAGAAAAAUCCCCAAUUCUCCUUUUGGGGCUUCAACUCUCACAUAAAGUUCUUGUUUCGACAAUUCAAAAGUUGGAGAAGGCUUUUUACUAAUAAACCGAUAUUCAAAAUCAUUCCAUUCAGGAUCUUUUAAUCUGUCAAAACGUCGCAUUUCUAAAUUUUCGUAAGGCCCCCCUGGAAUUCCUUCCAGAGCCUGUUGAAUAAUCUUUAUGGAUUCUGUCAUUUCACCGAUUCGUACUAAAUAACGAGCUAAUGAAUCCCCUUCUCGUUGCCAUUGAACCUUCCAAUCAAAUUCGUCGUAAGACUCAUAAUGAUAAACUUUAGGAAGAUCCCAUUCUAUUCCGGAAGCUCGUAGCAUUGGUCCCGAUAAACCCCUAUUUAAUGCCUCGUCUCUCCCAAUAAUGCCUACGGCUUCAACUCGUUCUAAAAAAAUAGGAUUCCAAGUAAUAAGUUUUUGAUACUCAGCAACCCCUGUUAAAAAAUAAUCGCAAAAAUCCAAACAUUUAUCUAUCCAACCAUAGGGUAGAUCGGCAGCAACUCCUCCUAUCCUAAAAUAAUUAUGCAUCAUUCGCAUACCGGUGGCAGCUUUGAAUAGGUCAUAUAUCAAUUCUCUUUCUCAAAAAAUAUAGAAGAAAGGGGUCUGUGCACCAAUAUCCGCCAUAAAAGGACCGAGCCAUAACAAAUGAGAAGCUAUCCGACUCAACUCCAACAUAAUGACUCUGAUAUAGCAAGCCCUUUUAGGUACUUGAAUAUUGCCUAAUUGUUUGGGUCCAUUUAUGGUUAUUGCUUCUGUGACAUAGUAGCUAAAUAAUCCCAGCGUGUUACAUAAGGCAAAUAUUAUAUAAUUGUUCGGUUUUCCGCAAUUUUCUCCAUCCCUCUAUGUAAAUAACCCAAUAUUGGUUCGCAGUCGACAACAUCUUCACCAUCUAGAGUAACGAUGAGUCAAAGAACACCGUGCAUUGAUGGGUGCUGAGGCCCCAUAUUGACUAUCAUGGGGUCUUUUCUUGUAGUUGGUGCAGUCAUAAGUUUUUUAACGAUUCAUUCUUCCAUGAAUUACUGAAAGUGAAAAAAAGUUCAUCAAAAUUUAAUCGAAACAUAUAAGUGAAAAUGAAAUAACUCUUCAAUUUAGUCAAAUUAACGAGUUUUUGUCUAUCGAAUGUCUAACUGAUUAAUUAAUUCUUUAUAACGUACUCUAUUUUUUUUUGCCAAAUAAGCUAGCAGUCGUUGACGUUUUCCCAAAAUUUUCUUCAAACCUCACUGAGAUAAAUAGUCUUUUUUGUGCAAUUCUAAAUGUGAAGUAAGUCUUCGUAUCUUAUUGGUGAAAUUGAAUACUUGAAAUUCAACAGAUCCUUUCUUUUCUUCUUGAGAAAUAACUGAAAUUAUAGAAUUUUUUACCAUAAAUGAAUUUCCCCUUUCUUUAUUUUACAGAUAUGGAUUUUUUCAAAUUUUAUUGAUCAGUAAUAAUAAUGCCAGUAAUUUGAACGUGGAAUAUAGACUUAAUUUCUUUAUGAACCUCUAAUUGUAGCAAUUCCAAUAAAUUAAUCAAAUUUCAAAUUUGAUUCAGAUAGGAAUCCAAAAAGGCGAUAGGUACGUUUUUUUUAGUCACAAAAACGAAUAAUUGAAACCUAAAAUCCUAAAAUGAAGAAGGUUCUGUUGAUUCAUUUCUAGAUCUAAUUAAUACCUUAUUUUAUUGAUUUAGUAUUGUCUACUCGAAUUAGAUUCGAAUGAGAUGUAAAACAAGGCAUGUUUGCAUUUAUUUGCUUUCAGUUACUCUAUACGAGACAGGGUAUAUAGUACUAUCAAUUAAUUUUCAAUCGUGGAUACAUAUGUAUCCUUAAGAUACUGAAAUGGCUACCAAUAUUGGUAUCAAACCAAUAACGAUUCAUACAAGCUAAAUCUUCUAAUCGAUAAUUAGACCAAAAAAAGAACUUAAAUUUAAUUAAUUCAUUUUUAUCUUUAUAAAGGGGUUUCCGUUCUCCCAAAAAUUGACUCCAGUUUUUUACAUUGUUUUCGUUGCAAAAUACUGAAUUUCUAUCGACGCUAUUCCAAUUCCAAGAAUUAAAAAAACUUCGAAUUCUCAACCCUCUACGACGUCUAGAGCAUAAAAUAUUUUUAGGAACAAGCAAACCAAAAUGAGUUUUUUCUGUAUUUAUUCUUUGAGUUUGAGGUUGCAGAAUGAAUUCGUCAAAAUUUUUUUUAUCAACAUAUCUUUGUUCUCGGUAUCUUUGAUUAGUUUGGUGUUUACUUUUAUGAACCAAUGAAAUACCUAUGGUUUGAUACAUAAUAAAUUGUCUAUUAUGUUUUACAGACAAUCGAAUAAGUUCAAUAAUCAAUAUCCCCUUCUUCAUCAAGUCUAUAAGAGGUAAAUUUGCCUGAAUGAGCAUUAUAUCCAAACUCAUUUCUCUCCUUUGAAUUGACGAUAUAGUAAUUUUGGUUGGAUUUAUCAGUCGAAGCAGGAGACAAUAUACCUUGAUAUUUUCGAGCAUUCUUUGAUUCAAAGCACCGUUCCAUCUCAAUUGAAAAAGCAAAUAACGUUUAAAGAACAAAUCUAGUUCUGCUUCCGUGUUGCUUUUGUAUUAUUUUUUAUUUUUACACUUUUUUGUGUCUGAUUCCACGUAAUAUUUUUCAAGAUCGGUUUGAUGUUUUGAAAAAAUAGGGCUCAGAUUUCCUUUGUUUUCUAUAUCUGAUCCACGCUCUCUUUGACUUGGGGGUUCUUUUGCUUCUUGACUUUGAUUCUUUACUUUUAUUUUUUAUUUGAUGGUAGAAAAAAGUUUUGGAUUUUAUUUUUACUAACAUUUUUAUUUGUAUUCAAAGUAAAAAGAAGGAUUUUUGCUUGGUAUAAUCCACGGUUUUAUUUUAUAGACAUUAUAAAGUAGUACAAAUUCUGGGAAGAACAAAAAUUCCAGAUUCAAUAUGGGACAAUUAAAUAUUUUUUCAUUCAUUCUCAUCCAAUCAAAAAAGACUUUUUUCGAAUUUUUUUGAGUUUUUUCUGGAUUUUGAUGAGUUCUAAGAUAAAAAAAAACCCUUUUCUCAAUUUUGAUCAAUUAUUCGAUAAUUACUAAUACCAAUUUUAGUAUUUGGAUUACUGUUGGUAUCGAUCUUAAUCCAGGCUUCAAUAUCUCCUUUUUGUCUUAGAGAAAAAUGGAUAAUUUUCCAAUCAAAAUAAUUUCUAUCGAGAUUUCUUUCUCUAUCUAGAAUAUUGCCCUUUCUUAGAUAAUUAUUGAUAUGAAGAUUGCUGGGCAUAUCAACAAAGUUGUGUUUGGACGUGUUGGAAUUAUACGAAAUUUCUAAGUUCUUCUUUACUUGAACUUCAAAGGGUAAUCUAGAAAAAAAUGAGUCACUUUUAUUUUCAUAGUUAAUCGAUUUAUAUGCUAAAAGACCAUAUCCAUAACAUUUUUUUAAAUUAUCUUUUUCGUUUGAUAAUGAAUAGAGUUUCGAAUCAUUUUCUAUUUUUAUUUUGAGCCAUACAACUUUGAUUAACCCUAGUUCGCCAUUUUUUUUGGGCAUUAAUCUAGACCAUCUAAUCUGAGAUAAAUCGUAUUGAUAAUGCCAUCUUAACCAGUUUUUCCAUUGAUUUAUUCGAUAACUCUGAAGUUUCUUAUGUUUUAAUUCUGAAUGAAAUAUUCAUAGUGUUUUAAAAUAGUCCUUUAUUUUAUUCUUAAGGAAACAAGACGUUGUGUUAUAUUGAAGAACAAAUCUAAAUUUAGAAAAAUUAAUAACUUGGGUUUGUGAGAAUUUGUAAAAUACAUAUGCUUGUGACAAGUAGGAUAAAUCACACAAAAUAUGUGAGUUUUUAUUACUAAUAUUAUAAAGUGACUUUAUUAUAGUCGAAAUAAACAUAAAGUGAAUUUUUUUUUAUGAUUAAUUUUUUCUUAAUUUAUUUCAUUAUUGGAGAUGAAUUUCUCAAUCAAUUUGAUUGUUGAUUUAAGAAAGAGUUGUGUAGUAAUUCUAGGAAUAUUAAUGAUAGAUAAAAAUAAAUUGAUGUAUAAUUUUAGAAAAUAAUGGAAUUUCCAUAUUACUCGAGUAUUUCUGCUUUUUAAUAUUUGGAAAAAAAAUUUGGCAAUUCGAAUUUUUUAAUAUUAUUUGUUUUAUUAGGAUUAAUGUCUAUUUCUGGAGUUACUUUGUUUUUCUCUUUUGUAAUUCUUUCUAUUUGAUUUUUGAUUGUACUUGUUCUAUCAGUCAAAUCCUUCAUUUUUGUUUCUAUCAGUGAAGAAUUUGGCCAAUUUCCAAAUUCAAUUUGACGAAAUUAUUCGUUAAUUAUUUGAUUACUAAUUAGAUAAUCUUUUUCUUUUUUUGUUUCAUUGGAUUAAGAUAUUUCUUUGAAUCUAAAUAAUACAAUUAGACUUACUUUUGAAAGUUUUUGUUUGUUUUUUUUUAGAAAUCCAAUACUUUUGAUAAACAAUUUUGUGGUUUCUCUUGAAACUCUUCUAAAUAAUUUUGUUUUCCUUUUAAAAUUUUUUAGAGCUAGAAAAUAUUUCUUUUUGAAUUUUCCUAUUUUUUUUCGAGUUCCUUAAAAAUGGGCUAAAAAAAUGAAGGUCGCUUUCGGGGAGAACCAAAGGGAAGUUCAGCUUCCAUUCCCCAAACUGUUAAAAAACAAAAAUCAUCUUUUUGUUUUUGCUUUUUAAUUAGCUCUCUGCGGGACGGAUACAGUUCAUAUAUAUGCCAAGGUUUCAGACAAAAAGGAAAUAAAAUUUUGAUCUGAAUCCCGUCUCUUAACCAAUUUUUGGGAAAUUCUGUUUCUGAUAAUUGAACACCAUUAUAAGUACAUUUAAUCUGUAUUUCUCUAUUCCAUCCCUGCAAAUCUUCAGAUCAUUCAGGGAGUUGCAAAAAUAACAUAUGUCCGAUAUUUUUGGCUAUUAUCAAUGCAGGUAAUAGAAUAUAUUUUCGAAGAAUUGAUUGAGUUAUUAACAUGUAACCUCUUAUUAUUUGUGCCAAAGGAAUGGUAUCCCAGGCUUCUUCGAUCACUAUCCGUGCUUGUUCCUUUCUUUUGUUAUCCUCUUUUUUGUCCUUUUCUUUUUUCUCUUCUCUUUUUGUUUGUUCUUCUCUAGACUCUAGAAUCUUGAAUUCUCCCUCUUUAUCUAUCCAAUUUUGAAAAAUUGGUUUAAUUAGUUCAGAGAUAUCAAAAGAAAAAAGACGUAGGGGGAUUAUUCUGUUGACAAAAAACGGAGAAUGUACAUUUGCUUGAAAUAGUUUCGGAAUAAAUGUUUUGCACCUUUGAGCCUGCAUAGAGCCUGUAAUUAUACAUCGCGAAAAUAUGAUUGUUGCGAAUAGCUUAUUAAAGCCACUUCCUCCUCAGCAUCCUUAGUCGCCUUGUUGUCAGUAAAAAUAACUACACGUUUGGCUUUUCUUGAACGAAGUUGAUGAUCCAUUGAUGCGCGAUCUUUAAAUUCACCCAUUUGUUUGUCCAAUUCAGUGAUUAAUUUAUAGGACCAGCGAGGUACUUUUUUACUGAUUUCUUUUUUGACACAUGUAAAAGUGAUGGAAAACAAAAAAUAUAUUUUACAUACCCGCCAAGUUUAUCAACUUUUUGGAAAAUGAUAAAAAGAAAGAUACCCCUAUUGUCACUCCAAAAAAUGUUCCCUAAUGAACUGGACACUCAGUGGGUUUCUACCAACAAAGAAAAAAGUAAUAAUCUAAAUAAGGAAUUUUUAAAUCGAUUUGAAAUUCUAGACAAGAAAUCUCUUUCUCUGGAUAUACUCGUAACAAGGACUAGAUUUUGUAAUGAUGAUACUAAAAAAGAAUGCGUGCCUAAAAUGUAUGAUCCUUUGUUAAAUGAACUAUAUCGAGGAACAAUUAAAAGGGGGGUUUCAUCUUCAAUCAUAAACAAUACUUUGCUAGAAAAUUGGGAAAAGAGAGUUAGACUAAAUAGGAUUCAUACUAUCUUUCUUCCGAAUAUUGAUUACCAAGAAUUUGAACAAAAAGCGUAUACGAUUGAUAAAAAACCAUUAUCAACAGAAAUUGACGAGUUCUUAACUUUAAUCAAUGAAUUAGGUAACGAAGCAAAAUCGAGUUUAAAUUUGAAGGGUCUUUCUUUAUUUUCAAACCAAGAACAGAGAAGAGCGAAUUAAGAAAAAAGAACGAAAUUUGUCAAAUUUGUAUUCAAUGCAAUUGAUCCUAAUUAGACAAAAUCGGGAAAAAAUCGAUCUGCUCAAAUCGAUUAUUCUUUAUGUAACAAAAUGGUCGAUUCCAUCGAUUAUAAUCGAAAAGAAGACUCACAAGAGGUUUUUGAAACCAGAAGAGGUCUUGUUCUUGAUUUUCAUUUUUUUUUAUCAAGCAGUUGCAAUUUACAAUUUUCUAGAUUUUCCGUGUUAUUAUUACUCAGAUAAGAAUCCUGAUAAUCAUAAAUUGGACUAUUACUAGUAUUAAUAUUGUUAUAGCCUGUCUCUGUAAGGUGAGAGUUGAAUUUAUCCUUUAUUUUGUCCUUUCCAUUCACUCGGAUUUCUUCCGUUUCAUCGAUUUUGUCCGUAUCCCACCCUUCUUCCGAAAAAAUGGAAGGAGAAGGAUAAGGAUCUUCUUCAGUGGAUCCCUCUUGUUCCUGUUUAGUCCUCUUCAUUUCGGAAGCAGUUUUUUUUCUACAUCUCUUUCUUCCUCACUUUCCACCCUUUCUUCUGUUUUUGAGGCUUCUUUCAGUUUCUUAGUAAGAAUGGGUGAGGGUAUUCUUCCUAAAUAGUAGACACAGGUAAUAAAUAAGAGAAUACUAAAGAUCCGAGCCAUAGAAUUUCUCAAUUCUAAUACAAGGUACUUAUUAGAUCGAAUGUACUUAUUCGAUCUAAUAGAAUGAUUUUGCCGUAUCAAGACUAAUACCAAUCCAAGCCAUUUCAUGAAUAAAAUGUGACCAAUUAACCAACCAACAAAACCACUUAUUACAAAUAAGAUCUUGUUGUUGCAUCGAAAGAGAUAAAUGUUGACCAAUCUGGCUAACAUUGAACUUGGUAAAAUGAAAUGGUUGAAUAAUUGAAAAAUGAGAUUAUUCAGGAAUACACAUUGAAUGCUGAGAUUACGCAUUGAAUUUCUGGUAGUAGAUCCAUAAUCAAAAAAGUGUUUGUGAUUGUUCCAGAAGAAAUGAAACAAAAGAUAUGGUAGAGCUAGGACAGUUAUUGUAUGAGAUCUAACCAAUGCUAGAUGCAGAGGCGCAUAAUAGAUCGAUAUGAACAUCAUGAACUGUCCCGUAAUAAAACCAGUUGGUUUUGAUACCUUUUUCUCGGUUCCUUCUUCCAUAACCAGAGCUCGGAGAAGGAAGAAAUAGGAGGGCCCUAUGGAGAAUGUGGUCAGAAAUCCAUAAUAGAGUCCGACCACAACUACCGAAUUGAUUAUCUUCAUGCAUAAGGAUACUAGAUUACCUAGUAGAAAAGAUUGAAAAAUCAUCACAAACCUCCCCUAUUUCUUUUCUAUUGCAAUUUCUGGAUUAUUAUAUGAUGAUUUUUGAACUUUCCAUAUAGAAAAGAAAUAGAAAGAGAUAGACUAGAAACGACAUCUAUUAUGUUAAUGACACCAAAAGAAUAUUAGAUGAAUGGAAUUGGGAUAUGGAUAGAAUAUAAUGAAAUAGAGCCACUUUGAGGUUCCCUCUGAAAUGAGGCAUGUAAGGGAGCCACUACGAAGAAGUUCCGGGAGUUACGAAGGAAGCUUCGAGCUCAUAUUGGUCAUGGGUUGGGAACGGGAAUUGAACUCUAUGAGAUUGAAUCUCCUGUUGUUCCUCAGUAGCUCAGUGGUAGAGCGGUCGGCUGUUAACCGAUUGGUCGUAGUUUCGAAUCCUAGGGGAGAUUUGAUUGAUUCUGAAUUCUUUAAUUCAGAAUAAGAAUAAAGGGGCUCCCUUUGCUCGUUAAGAGUAGGUAACCCGUUCCCUGUCUUUGUUUCUAUUGCAUUCUAUCUCAUUGUAUCACAUUCUGUUCUGUGAGAUUAGAAAAUCACCAUCAAUACCUCGGUCUAGGUCCGAGAUAAUCCUUUGUUCCAUAUCCCUCGGGAUAUUUACAACUAGCCAAUUAAGAAGUCUCAGAUGUACUAGCACUGCAUCUUUGAUACAGUCGUCGAUUCUCCCGAGAGGUCACAAUUGCCGCGAGCAAAGAUAUUAAUGACGAGGAAGGCUUUUUUGUUAUGCUACUAAUACUUGCUCUGCUUUUCUGCCCAAGCCCGGCUGAGGAAGAGUUACGGGGCUAAAAAAAAAUACGUCGAUCGGGCAUACUAUGUGUAAUGAUUCCCCCAUUCACGAUAAAUAAAAAGAUAAAAAGCCAUUCCAUUUCCACAAAAGACCCACACCCAAGUUACAUAGCUUUUGGUUCGCUAUCCCGAUCAUAAUUUUCCUACCCCCAGAGGGAAAGGUACUUCCCUUUUUGGCCGGUUGUGGGCGAGGAGGGAUUCAACCCCCGACAUCGUGGUUCGUAGCCUCGUGCUCUAAUCCUCUGAGCUACAGGCCCCACCCCGUCUCCACUGGAUCUGUUCCCGGGAGUACCCUCAAAAAAAGGAACCUUUCCUCUCCCCAGCCAUUUAGGGUUAAGAAGAUGUGAAAGUGCGUUUAUCUCUAUAAGUUUAUAAGAAGGGUGCAUUCCGAGAUGUGAAGUGGGAGAGAAGGGAUGUCACAAUUGGGGUUUUGAAUAAAAAGACCUUUUUCUUUUUCAUUUUUUUUUUCGUUUUCAUAUUGAAAAAGUAAUAAGAUUGAGAGGUGUUAAGCUUUUUAUCAUCCUGUCGUCUAGCUAUUUUUCCGCAGGACCUCCCCUAGAGUAUCGUCACCGCAGUAGAGUUUAACCACCAAGUUCGGGAUGGAUUGGUGUGGUUCCUCUACGCCUAGGACACCAGAAUAUCGAACCAUGAACAAAGAAAGGCAUGAGAGAAAAGCAUAUUGGCUAGUGAUUGUGAGGCCCCAAUUCUUAACUGGAGGGGACACCAAAGGCCUCUACCCUUCUAUCCAUUGGAUAGAUAGAGAGGGAGGGCAGAGCUUUUGGUUUUUUCAUGUUGUCAAAGAGUUGAAUAAUGGUUUUUUCGUGCCGUCAAACAUUUGAACAAUAUUACACUAUGGAACAAUUGAAGGGAUGUGGCGCAGCUUGGUAGCGCGUUUGUUUUGGGUACAAAAUGUCACGGGUUCAAAUCCGAUCCUAUUUCAGUGGGAACUUGAUGAGUCGAUCCACCUACACGUCUUUCUUUUACUGUUAUAAUGGGAGUUACUCCACGUAUUGCUUGAUGUAAAACGGAUAGUGGAGUUGUUUAUAUAUAUAUAUAUAUAUAUAUAUAUAUAUAUAUAUAUAUAUAUAUAUAUAUAUACAUAUAUAUUAGGGUUUAGGGUUUAGGGUUAGGGUUUAGGGUUUAGGGAAUUUGUGAGUCUCAUUUUACUCAUUACCACACAUCUGUGGAAAAACUGUUUGGACAUACUUAAAAGGAUAAGACAGAUACCAGACUACAAGGACAAUAAUGCAAGAAAAGGAACAUCAUUUCACGUGACGAUGAGGCCCAGAAGUGUACUCGGCUGAGAUGAUAAGAUUCUCUUUCCAUUUGAAAUCCGAAGUUUGAAGUCCGAAGACCUCUAUAAAAGCAGGCAUUAUCAAGAGAGGAACAACAAGAAGAAGAAGAAGAAAUCCCUAGCAUAAAAAAAAUGUCAGAAAUCCCUUUCCAAAAAUCCAUAUAUAUAUAUAUAUCCAUUUUUUAUAAAAAAUCAAAAAUGAAGAAUUUCGUGACUUUAUUGACCUGACCAGGAAAAAAAGCAGUUUUUCUAUUUUUUAUGAUACUUUGAAAU